rnacentral:rRNA from 1 species
GACGAACGCUGGCGGCGUGCCUAAUACAUGCAAGUUGAGCGCUGAAGGUUGGUACUUGUACCGACUGGAUGAGCAGCGAACGGGUGAGUAACGCGUGGGAAAUCUCCCUUUGAGCGGGGGACAACAUUGGGAAACGAAUGCUAAUACCGCAUAAAAACUUUAAACACAGUUUUUAAGUUUGAAAGAUGCAAUUGCUUCACUCAAAGAUGAUCCCGCUUUUUAUUAGUUAGUUGGUGAGGUAAAGGCUCACCAAGGGGAUGAUACAUAGCCAACCUGAGAGGGGGAGCGGCCACAUUGGGACUGAGACACGGCCCAAACUCCUACGGGAGGCAGCAGGAGGGAAUCUUCGGCCAUGGACGAAAGACUGACCGGGCAACGCCGCGUGAGUGAAGAAGGUUGUCGGGUCGUAAAACUCUGUUGGUAGAGAAGAACGUUGGUGAGAGUGGAAAGCUCAUCAAGUGACGGUAACUACCCAGAAAGGGACGGCUAACUACGUG